rnacentral:rRNA from 1 species
CCCUGGUAAUGUUGAGGUUCUAACUCUGUCCCGUGAUCCGGGACGAGGACCGUGUCUGGUGGGUAGUUUGACUGGGGCGGUCUCCUCCUAAAGAGUAACGGAGGAGUACGAAGGUGCGCUCAGCGUGGUCGGAAAUCACGCGUAGAGUAUAAAGGCAAAAGCGCGCUUAACUGCGAGACCCACAAGUCGAGCAGGUACGAAAGUAGGUCUUAGUGAUCCGGUGGUUCUGUAUGGAAGGGCCAUCGCUCAACGGAUAAAAGGUACUCUGGGGAUAACAGGCUGAUACCGCCCAAGAGUUCAUAUCGACGGCGGUGUUUGGCACCUCGAUGUCGGCUCAUCUCAUCCUGGGGCUGAAGCAGGUCCCAAGGGUAUGGCUGUUCGCCAUUUAAAGAGGGACGCGAGCUGGGUUUAGAACGUCGUGAGACA